GCCGAGGUGGCGGAAUUGGUAGACGCGCUAGAUUCAGGUUCUAGUGGGGCGACUCGUGGAGGUUCAAGUCCUCUCCUCGGUACCA
rnacentral:tRNA from 1 species